AGCAGCCGCGGUAAUUCCAGCUCCAAUAGCGUAUAUUAAAGUUGUUGCAGUUAAAAAGCUCGUAGUUGAAUUUCGGGAUCAAAUUGUCGGUCGUGCCUCGGUACGUACUGGUAUUAUUGGUUCCUCCCUUCUGACGAACCACGAUGUCAUUAAUUUGGUGUCAUGGGAAAUCAGGACUGUUACUUUGAAAAAAUUAGAGUGUUUAAAGCAGGCUCGCGCUUGAAUACAUUAGCAUGGAAUAAUGAAAUAGGACGUUUGAUUCUAUUUUGUUGGUUUCUAGGAUCGACGUAAUGAUUAAUAGGGAUAGUUGGGGGCAUUAGUAUUCAAUUGUCAGAGGUGAAAUUCUUGGAUUUAUUGAAGACUAACUACUGCGAAAGCAUUUGCCAAGGAUGUUUUCAUUAAUCAAGAACGAAAGUUAGGGGAUCGAAGACGAUCAGAUACCGUCGUAGUCUUAACCAUAAACUAUGCCGACUAGGGAUCGGAUGAUGUUAAUUUUUAAUGACUCACUUCGGCGCCUUAA
rnacentral:rRNA from 1 species